GAUGAACGCUGGCGGCGUGCCUAAUACAUGCAAGUCGAGCGAACGGACGAGAAGCUUGCUUCUCUGAUGUUAGCGGCGGACGGGUGAGUAACACGUGGAUAACCUACCUAUAAGACUGGGAUAACUUCGGGAAACCGGAGCUAAUACCGGAUAAUAUUUUGAACCGCAUGGUUCAAAAGUGAAAGACGGUCUUGCUGUCACUUAUAGAUGGACCCGCGCUGCAUUAGCUAGUUGGUAAGGUAACGGCUUACCAAGGCAACGAUGCAUAGCCGACCUGAGAGAGUGAUCGGCCACACUGAAACUGAGGCACGGUCCAGACUCCUCCGGGAGGCAGCAGUAGGGAAUCUUCCGAAAUGGGCGAAAGCCUGACGGAGCAACGCCGCGUGAGUGAUGAAGGUCUUCGGAUCGUAAACUCUGUUAUUAGGGAAGAACAUAUGUGUAAGUAACUGUGCACAUCUUGACGGUACCUAAUCAGAAAGCCACGGCUAACUACGUG
rnacentral:rRNA from 1 species